CGAGAGAAUUCCUGGAGAAUUCCACCUCACAAAGUCAAAGGUUCCAUAGGGUAGAUCACCACUGGCCCCCGCCGGCCCUGAUCAGCCGGUGGCCUGCAAGGGGGAACACUUCCCAGAGGGCAGAGGAGACCCCUAGAGCCGUACCUGGACAGAGCCUGCCAGGUGAGGUGACUGGGAGUGGAGAUGCCUGGGUACGGUUCCACCUCCUCCCACAAUUCUCCUUGGAAGUUUCUAGAGCAUCUUCAUAUAGAGGUGAGGACACUUUCUGAAGGGCACAGGAUAGCAGACAAGGCUAUGGAACCAGCAUUUGCUUUUCUCAGCUGCUAAAAGUACUUGUGAUGACUACGUAGAUGGACCAAAUCAUCAGAACAAAGAAUCGGAAACACACCUCCAGCACUAAAGCUGCAUGAAAAUACAUGGAGUGGCAAACUGCUCCCUGACACAUUUAAGACGAUCCAGGACCUCUUCCAAGCUGGCUGGGAACAAAGAAUGUUUCUCCAGGAAGCAGAGUAAAGAAAACUAUCAGUCCUACCCAUCCUCUCUAUACGAAGGCUGUUAAGUUCAAUCUGUUUAUAUUUCCUUUUGUUGCCUGUGCUUUAGUGUCAUAGCCAUGAAAUUUUUGCCAAAUCCAAUCUUAUAAAUAUUCUCCACUAUGUUUUCUUCUACCAGUUUUAUGUUUUAGCUCUUCAAAGUCCUAAAGACCUCCCCUUAAGCCCCACCCCUUAAAGGCGCCAUGCCUCCCAAGACCACCACCCUGGGAACAGACCUUUCGGGACACUGAAGGUCUCGCUUGUCCUGCCACGUUCCUUU
rnacentral:lncRNA from 1 species